CUGGGAGUGAUGACAGUUUUAUUUGUGAGAAUCAGCUGUGAUGUUUCAUGUAUUCAUACUGUCUGACCCUC